UUUUUUUUUUUCUUUUUUUUUUUUUUUUUAGUGGCUUGGAAAUCAGUAGCAGCUGUGUCCAGAGAUAGUACUCAUGAGUACUUGGACAAGCCCAAAACCAUUAUCUCAGGACUCAAGAGAGCUAGGCACUCCAAGUUCUGAAGACACAUCACAGCCAAAAUCUAGGAAAAUUAUAAACCCUUACCACGAUUUUAAACUCGUCCCUCUUCCCUCAGCCUUUUUGGCUCUUAGCUGGAAGGGGAAAGCAUAAGAACUGCUGAGUUUUAAGACCACGUAAUCUCCCUGCUCUCGUGCACAGAGAAAUGAAUAAUGGUAGUAUCUCAUUUAGCCAUGUAUGGAGUGACCAAACACUUAUAUUAAUCAGUCCAUCAUUUAUUGACCAAUGUCCUGCUAUAACUGUGCUCUGAGUAUGGAUUUAUUGAAUUCCUAAUUUCUCUGCAAGGCACCAUAAAGGACACAGGGAGAUCAGAAGCUAAGGCCAGGGUCUGAGGAGGAAUUGAAGCUGUGGCCAUGGGGAGUAAAGAAGCUGCCACCAAGGACUUGAGGCAAGGAAGUAUUGCAGGCUUUGAGCCUCUAAAAGCUGAGUGGUGGCUAUGUUCCUUGAGAGAAAGGUCUUAAGCUUAGUAGAGCGUGGGUUGUGCCAAAGCAAACUAGGAAGGGAGAGUCUCUUCAUGGCGGCAGCUUCCAGCAGAGCCUUAACGAACGGGUUGGCUUUGGCAGGUGUUUCGUGGCUGGCUGGCUGGAUGUAAGACUCUCUGGUUGGGAGAAGAGAGAAGAAACUUGCCAGCCCCACAGGGAUCCUGGUAGGAAGGGGCUGGCCUGGGUGGGAAAACUUUUGUCUUCCUGGGCUGAAACCCAGAGUUAGCAAGCUUGAGGAACAAGAGAGAAAGGCUUGCUUUGGCAUUCUCCCUCACUGUUCCUUUUUGCCUCAAAACAAGCUUAACCCCGAUAACCCUCUCCUCGGGAGCUUGAAUUAUCCUUAUGUAGAUGAAGGCAUCUAGAGAAUGGGAGUAGGAUGAUACUUCUGUCUUAUGGUCACUGGAACCAAGACGGUUGACUUAAAUCAUCCAGUACAGGGUAAGUCCCAGAAAGAGAACCUGGGGUGCAGCUUCAUAUCUGGAUCUCAGCUUCCAUUUCUACAAGGACCCUUUAGAAGCAGGGUGCUAUUGUGAGUGUGUGCGUGUGUGUAAAAUUUGCCUACGUCUUUCUGGGCAAAAGAGGCUGGCGGCCCAGUACAGUGUCAUUUUAGGCUUGUUUACAUCUCAGCAAACUCUUUUACAGAUGCUUUCUAAAUCAAGACCGUUGAACGGGUUAAGAAAAGUGGGAAACUUCAAGUUGGCAGGAAGGGGGAGGGAACUAAAGUAGCCAAAGGACCGACCAGCUUCAGGUCAGCUGAGAAAGUAAGCUGUUGCUCAAGGUCAGCAUUUCACCUUUCUUUUCUAGUGUUCUCUAUCUACCCCAGUAGAGUCUUGGACAUCUGUGUCCAUCAUCCUUUCUUACAAGUGCUCUGAAGAAGUCACACUUAAGUUCAUGAGAUGAUUCAGUCAACAAGAAAUGCUCAUUGCAUAUCUUUCAUACUCUAGGCUCACUGAGCUAGACACUGAGGAUACAAUGGGAAAUACAUAAAAGCCAUCCAUGAUCUUAUCUGAGAGAGUUAGGCAGAAACAAGAUGGUGUGAUGGUAAUGAAUAUAUAAAUUUCAAACUACCAAGAGGGAAGAGUAUAACAAAGACUUCGAAGAAAGUGGUAACUGUGUUAAAGAAAUGAAUCUCUAGUAUUGAAAUACUCAUUACCAGACACAGGCCAAAGGAAGACGUGCAGACAAAAGACUUUCUGGGAACCCUUCAAGUCAUGCCAUGCAAAUAGUUUUCACACCCCUAGAAAUAUAUCUAGGCCAUGAGUGACCAGCAGGUCCAAAGCAGUAGGAAUAACAAUAUUCUGACAAGGAUAAUAGAUAAGUUUGAAGCCUAUGAGGUAACUACCUUUUAAUGUCAUCCUUUGCUAAAAAUAGUCCAUGACAGUAUGGAAAUGUGUAAAGGCUAGCCCUGGGGACCAGGAAUAAAGUGGGUAUAGCCUGCGGGGAGGAAACUGGCUUUUGUAAAUUAUUUACUAAACAGAACAACGGCAAAAAAAAAAAUCCACACC
rnacentral:lncRNA from 1 species